UUAAACGUCUCGACUCCCGCUCAUCCCUAUCAUGAUUGCAUAUCCGUGGCCAGGUGGUGCUUGGGGGGUAUGUGCGUGGACGUGGAGCUGCAGCCCCACUUCCCCGCACUUCCCCCCUCCUGCUCCACGGAGAGGUCUUGGAAAGUCUUAGGCGAAGAGCUAUUUUAUGCUGGCAUAUGGCAAGGAAGUGGGCUGUGUGGCUUUCCCCAUUAUUAAGUCGGUUUGUUUUCUUGCAUUGGUCCUACAUUGCAAACUGUCCGCACAAUGCUAGCUGUUGC
rnacentral:lncRNA from 1 species